rnacentral:rRNA from 1 species
AUUGAACGCUAGCGGCAUGCUUUACACAUGCAAGUCGAACGAGUGGCGGACGGGUGAGUAAUAUCUCGGAAAGUGCCCAGUGGCGGGGGAUAACUACUCGAAAGAGUGGCUAAUACCGCAUACCAUCGGAUGUGCCCAGAUGGGAUUAGCUAGUGGGUGGGGUAAAGGCUCACCAAGGCGACGAUCCGUAGCUGGUCUGAGAGGAUGACCAGCCACAUUGGGACUGAGACACGGCCCAGACUCCUACGGGAGGCAGCAGUGGGGAAUUUUGGACAAUGGUGAAAAGCCUGAUCCAGCCAUGCCGCGUGUAUGAAGCCGGCCUUCGGGUUGUAAAGUACUUUAGGCCGAGAAGCGUUACCGGCAGAAUAAGCACCGGCUAACUACGUGCCAGCAGCCGCGGUAAUUC